GGAGAGGCAUCGGGCUCCGGCAGAGCAACCUUCUGAUCGACGCAGCAGAACUGACGAUCUGAGAGGAGGAGCAGGCCUAGGAGAGGCAUCCUGCACCAGCGGAACAACCUGAUGACAACGUAGCUUCGAAAUCGACUCCGCUGUUGCGCAUCAGUGUCGGUGAGUCAAAAACUUUUAUUUAAUUUUAAGGUAACGGAUUUGUGGAGUUUGUAGAUGUAGAUUGUAGAUAUAGAUUGUAGAUAGGUCCGUUACCUUCAAAUAAAUGGGCUA
rnacentral:lncRNA from 1 species